rnacentral:rRNA from 1 species
GAUGAACGCUGGCGGCGUGCCUAAUACAUGCAAGUCGAGCGAACGGACGAGAAGCUUGCUUUUCUGAUGUUAGCGGCGGACGGGUGGGUAACACGUGGAUAACCUACCUAUAAGACUGGGAUAACUUCGGGAAACCGGAGCUAAUACCGGAUAAUAUUUUGAACCGCAUGGUUCAAAAGUGAAAGACGGUCUUGCUGUCACUUAUAGAUGGAUCCGCGCUGCAUUAGCUAGUUGGUAAGGUAACGGCUUACCAAGGCAACGAUGCAUAGCCGACCUGAGAGGGUGAUCGGCCACACUGGAACUGAGACACGGUCCAGACUCCUACGGGAGGCAGCAGUAGGGAAUCUUCCGCAAUGGGCGAAAGCCUGGCGGAGCAACGCCGCGUGAGUGAUGAAGGUCUUCGGAUCGUAAAACUCUGUUAUUAGGGAAGAACAUAUGUGUAAGUAACUGUGCACAUCUUGACGGUACCUAAUCAGAAAGCCACGGCUAACUACGUG